GAUUCUGCCAAUUGGUCCAUCUUUUAGAUGAGUACUGGUUGUGUGGGGUCUAUCCGCCUGGUGAUACGUAAUGUCCUUUAUUGGAUGUUGCGGGUAGUCAGGACCUAUACCUUGAGAAAAUUAGAGUGUUCAAAGCAGGCCUACGCCUGAAUACGUUAGCAUGGAAUAAUAGAAUAGGACGUGCGGUUCUAUUUUGUUGGUUUCUAGAGUCGCCGUA
rnacentral:rRNA from 1 species